AGCAGCCGCGGUAAUUCCAGCUCCAAUAGCGUAUAUUAAAGUUGUUGCAGUUAAAAAGCUCGUAGUUGAAUUUCGGGAUCAGUACGUCGGUCGUGCCUUCGGUAUGCACUGGUGUCACUGGUUCCUCCCUUCUGACGAACCGUCAUGCCAUUAAUUUGGUGUGGCGGGAAAUCAGGACUGUUACUUUGAAAAAAUUAGAGUGUUUAAAGCAGGCUCACGCUUGAAUACAUUAGCAUGGAUAAUGAAAUAGGACGUUGAUCUUAUUUUGUUGGUUUCUAGGAUUGACGUAAUGAUUAAUAGGGAUAGUUGGGGGCAUUAGUAUUCAAUUGUCAGAGGUGAAAUUCUUGGAUUUAUUGAAGACUAACUACUGCGAAAGCAUUUGCCAAGGAUGUUUUCAUUAAUCAAGAACGAAAGUUAGGGGAUCGAAGACGAUCAGAUACCGUCGUAGUCUUAACCAUAAACUAUGCCGACUAGGGAUCGGAUGAUGUAAUUUUUAAUGA
rnacentral:rRNA from 1 species